AUGGUCUUGUAGGGCAUUGGUCUUAAUUAUAACCAGAAUUUAUAGAAAAAUUAAAAGAUUCCCUAAGUGUAGCUAAAAGUGCAUUAUCUUCUUGAUUAAAAGAUAGGACCUCAGCUAUAGAAAAGGGUUGGUUUUGACCUAUUGCAAUCAACUCCGGACACAGAUCAUAAUUAGGGGAAGGACGUGUUGACUCCCAUGGUCUAUGGCUGGUCUCCGAAGGUGCAAAGAAUUCAAUAAUAGGUAUGGAAUUUGAGUUAUCCAUAAAGAUAGAAAAAAUAAAAAGAUAAAAGAAUAAAAGUAUAAAAGUAUAAUACAAGAUAAUAGCAAGACUCAAAGUUAUCUCAGCAAACCGUCUUUCUCCCCGGCAACGGCGCC
rnacentral:lncRNA from 1 species